AUAAUGGUGUCUUUAGACACCACCUUUAUCUUCAAAAUAUGUUGU
rfam:Picea glauca, whole genome shotgun sequence.